UCUGGGGCAGGAGGCCGAACGAUACUGGGC
rnacentral:piRNA from 1 species